ensembl:lncRNA
GUGCAGAGAUGGUGCUGAACAUCAGAGCGUGCAUUGCAUGUGGCUGUGUGCACGGUGACUGCAGGUGAAAGUUUUGCAUGUGUGUGCAUGCACAUGGCUGUGUGCAAGGCCAGAGCAGCGCUCGUGUCGUCGUGCUCGUGGGUGUGCAAAGGGAUGGGGUGCAUGCAUGUGUGUGUAUGCAUGAACAUGGGAGAGUGCAUCAAGGUCUUUGCACAAGGCCUUUUGUUUUAUCACACUUUUGCGUGCACAUGGAUGGAGCGUGCACAUACAGGCUGUGCAAGGAUGCACUUGCACGUGUGUGUGAAUGCACAGGUGUGUGUGUGCAGGGAAAUCUUUGCACGUGGGUGUAUGGUUCUGCACACAUCCCUGCACACAGAUGCGCGUGCAAGGGAGCAGCGGAGACUUCUAGGAACAGGAGAUUUCUGGGAGCUUUGGAACUCCCGUGAGAGUGCUGGAGAGCACAGGGCCGGGAAGCACAGCUCCGCAGCACUGCGCUCUGCACAACAGCCUGCAGGACGGCACGGAGCGCUGACAGAACCAGGACACAGCGCCAUAGCAGGCACUGCAAAGGAAACAGCUCCAUCCCAGCCGCAACAGUGACAGGCAGGCAGGCACUGGGGAGGGCUGCACGGCAGAGGGACGCCCUCUGAGUGCCACAUCAGGAGAACCUGGAGCGCUGUCUGCAAGCAGAACAGUGCCGGGAUGGCAGCCUGGUGGUCCUAAGCUGCAGAGAUGCUGCUCUGGACCAACAGCCUGUCAUUUUUUCAGAAAACGCCGUCCUUUUGCUGAACUUUGCUCAUU